rnacentral:tRNA from 1 species
ACCUGGGUGGCUCAGUCGGUUGAACAUCCGACUUUGGCUUGGGUCAUAAUCUCACGUUCAUGGGUUCAAGCCCCAUGUCAGGUU